UACGAAGGAUCCUAGCGUUGUCCGGAUUUACUGGGUUUAAAGGGUGCGUAGGCGGAUUAUUAAGUCAGUGGUGAAAGCCGGCAGCUUAACUGUCGAACUGCCAUUGAAACUGAUAGUCUCGAGUAUGGCUGAGGUGGCCGGAAUGUAUCAUGUAGCGGUGAAAUGCUUAGAUAUGAUACAGAACACCAAUUGCGAAGGCAGGUCACUAAACCAUAACUGACGCUGAGGCACGAAAGCGUGGGGAGCAAACAGG
rnacentral:rRNA from 1 species